GCCCAGUUUCCAUGGCAACCCUGUGACACUUAUACGCCAUAGGAAAAUGUCAUUUUCCGAAAAAGACAAAACUUCAUGGACAAGUGGUUGGAGAAGAAGGAAUCUUUUGUGAACCUCCUCCAGUAUUUACUUCCAACUUCUGUUUAAGUGAACAUUCUUGCCAGAAAACUUGUUCAAUAGCAUAUUUGGGGAAUGCAAAUACAACAGGAAAGCUAGAACAGCGAAUUGAAUUACAUUUCUUCAUCAGGCGAAAAUUCAUCAAGCUCUGUAUGAAAUGAAGAAAGUCAGAAAUUGUCCACGUAGCUGCUUUCAGGACAUAGUCACAGUCAAAUCAGUUUUAUCAAUCUCAAAUAUUAAAAAUCAAAAUCAUUAUAUUUGUUGGGAUUUCAUUCAUCAUUUUCAUGAACAAGUGUCUCAUUUCUAAAGUCACAGUACAUUUUAGAUUUUUUACUAGCUCUAGUCGUUUCAAACCAUAGGAAAAGUGUAGUCAUAUUUUUGAACUUUUAAGACCAAUCCCACAACUAAUAGAGGCUUUCUUUAAAAACAAAACCCCACAUAAGCUGAGGUUCUCCAGGCACUGCGCUGCUCAGAUACUGGAAAGGAGCUCAGAUACAUCUAUGGCCAGAUACAGCAGGUUUGCACUGGGAAAGGAGGUCCUUCAGUUUCUCAGCUGGGUCAUAUCAUCACAGGACCUGGCAUAAAAAUGCAGCUAGCAAAGCAGAAUAACAGCAGGAUCAAGUUUUAAAGAUCCAUAGAUGGUUCCCAGAGUACCCAUUAGACAAUUGGUGUGAUAAACAGAGUAGAGC